UGCCAGCAGCCGCGGUAAUACGGAGGGGGUUAGCGUUGUUCGGAAUUACUGGGCGUAAAGCGCACGUAGGCGGAUCAGAAAGUAUAGGGUGAAAUCCCAGGGCUCAACCCUGGAACUGCCUCCAAAACUGUUAGACUAGAAUUCAAGAGAGGUAGGCGGAACUUCCAGUGUAGAGGUGAAAUUCGUAGAUAUUGGAAAGAACACCAGUGGCGAAGGCGGCUUACUGGCUUGAUAUUGACGCUGAGGUGCGAAAGCGUGGGGAGCAAACAGGAUUAGCUA
rnacentral:rRNA from 1 species